GACGAACGCUGGCGGCGUGCCUAAUACAUGCCAGUCGAGCGGACGAAUCGAAAGCUUGCUUUUGAUUCGUUAGCGGCGGACGGGUGAGUAACACGUGGGCAACCUGCCCUGUAGACGGGGAUAACACCGAGAAAUCGGUGCUAAUACCGGAUAACACGAAAUGUCGCAUGACGUUUCGUUGAAAGACGGCGCAAGCUGUCGCUACAGGAUGGGCCCGCGGCGCAUUAGCUAGUUGGUGAGGUAACGGCUCACCAAGGCGACGAUGCGUAGCCGACCUGAGAGGGUGAUCGGCCACACUGGGACUGAGACACGGCCCAGACUCCUACGGGAGGCAGCAGUAGGGAAUCUUCCGCAAUGGACGAAAGUCUGACGGAGCAACGCCGCGUGAGCGAAGAAGGCCUUCGGGUCGUAAAGCUCUGUUGUUAGGGAAGAACAAGUAACGCAGUAACUGGUGUUACCGUGACGGUACCUAACGAGAAAGCCACGGCUAACUACGUG
rnacentral:rRNA from 1 species